UACAGAGGGGGCAAGCGUUGUUCGGAAUUACUGGGCGUAAAGGGCGCGUAGGCGGCCAACUAAGUCGAACGUGAAAUCCCCGGGCUCAACCCGGGAACUGCGUCCGAUACUGGUUGGCUUGAAUCCGGGAGAGGAUGCGGAAUUCCAGGUGUAGCGGUGAAAUGCGUAGAUAUCUGGAGGAACACCGGUGGCGAAGGCGGCAUCCUGGACCGGCAUUGACGCUGAGGCGCGAAAGCCAGGGGAGCAA
rnacentral:rRNA from 1 species